GCGGCAACGGCUGAGUAACACGUAAGCAACCUGUCCCAAAGUGGGGAAUAAUUCACCGAAAGGUGGACUAAUACCGCAUGUGGUGGCGGAAUCAGUUUUCUGUCACUAAAGCCUUCGGGCGCUUAGGGAGGGGCUUGCGUCCUAUCAGGUAGUUGGUGAGGUAACGGCCCACCAAGCCUUUGACGGGUAGCUGGUCUGAGAGGAUGUCCAGCCAGACGGGGACUGAGACACGGCCCCGACUCCUACGGGAGGCAGCAGCAAGGGAUUUUGCGCAAUGGGCGAAAGCCUGACGCAGCAACACCGCGUGAGGGAAGAAGGCCUUCGGGUUGUAAACCUCUUUUCUCAGGGAAGAAUAAUGACGGUACCUGAGGAAUAAGUCACGGCUAACUACGUGCCAGCAGCUGCGGUAAUACGUAGAUGGCAAGCGUUAUCCGGAUUCACUGGGCGUAAAGAGCGCGUAGGUGGUCCUUCAAGUCAGAUGUGAAAUCUCCCGGCUUAACUGGGAGCGGUCAUCUGAUACUGCUGGACUUGAGGGCGGUAGAGGGAGGUGGAAUUCCCGGUGUAGUGGUGAAAUGCGUAGAUAUCGGGAGGAACACCAGUGGCGAAAGCGGCCUCCUAGGCCGCCCCUGACACUGAGGCGCGAAAGCGUGGGGAGCGAACAGGAUCAGAUACCCUGGUAGUCCACGCCUUAAACUGUGGAAACUAGGUACAAGGAGUAUCGACCCUUCCUGCGCCGUAGCUAACGCGUUAAGUUUCCCGCCUGGGGACUACGGUCGCAAGACUAAAACUCAAAGGAAUUGACGGGGGCCCGCACAAGCAGCGGAGCGUGUGGUUUAAUUCGAUGCAACACGAAGAACCUUACCAAGGCUUGACAUGCUGGAAGUAGCGAACCGAAAGGGG
rnacentral:rRNA from 1 species